ACUAGCUGAAGAGUCCCAUAUAGGACGAAAUGCACAUCCUCAUU
rnacentral:hammerhead_ribozyme from 1 species